rnacentral:lncRNA from 1 species
CUGGAACAAAAUCGACCAACAGAAAAUAUUACCGAGCUGCUUUUCGAUCAUCAUUCUGCUACAGCCAGCGCUGUGAGCACCGAGCGCGCAGAUGGCAAAGCGGCCGUGUCAGCUGUGAGCACUGCCUCUGAGCUAUGGGAAGCACUCAUUUUCUCAUUCCUCCUUCGACCCUGCUGCAACUCCACUGCUGUAAAGCUGACACAGGCCUGCAGGAGGGGAACCAAAUCCCAACAGAAAGCCUGGGGAGUUUUAGUCUCUAACUACAGAGGGGAGAGUGCGCGCUGCAUCUUAAGAUCCAGGUCAAGACAGGGAAUGAUUUCCAUUUUUCACUUGUAAGGAGACUAGCUCUUUGGGAAAAGGCAGAUUGUACAAACUCAUUGCAAGGCACGGCUGCAGUGAAGCAUCAGACGGUGCGUUCCCAAGGGCACGAGAGGCAGAUACUUUCUGGAAUCUCAGAGGAGAAAAGGCAGCUCAGUGCUGCUCAGAGCUGCUGUAAAUGUGAAUCACAGCCUCGUACCUGUUAUGAGGCUCUUCUGCUGCUCACAUAAGUGGUGAGAUGUCUUGCUGCUGUUUAUGUUCUCCCCCUCAGGAAAGAGGAGGAAUACUUCCUACUGACUUUGAAUUUGAAGUAUCUUUGACCUCAGAAUGGUCAAAGCACACUUCAAACUCCAGACUAGUCACACACUGUCAGUAACGCUCUUUCCUUUCAUCCUGCAGGAAAAAGAGCACAGACUGCUCAUCUUGAGCUUUGCAGACACAGCAGCAGCAGUGCAGGUGCACAGCUUGGGUAGUGAAAGGACUUCAUAGGAUGGCUUACAAACAGUAAUGGGUUGUAAUCUUAUUCAGCAUGGAAAGUGUGAAUAAUGGCAGCCAAACAUGUAUCAGUCCAAACAGAAUUAGCGUGGAAACAGCAGUCUGUUAUCUGCUUGCAACUACAUCUACUCUUUGAACAGCAGGACAGCCACGAACAUGUGAGCCAGCCAUCUCAAACUCGUUUUGUACGCCCCGGGAAGAAACAGUGCUUGGUUACCUAUGAUUCAUCUGACUGGUUUUAGGACAAAAUGAAUCGCAUUCAAUCACUUCCAGUUACUCUGCAGUGAGAGCAAAGCAAGCCAAGACAACUAGUCCAGAUGUAUAUGUGUACAUCUGGUCAAAUGAAC